AUUCUAGAGCUAAUACAUGCUAAAAACCUCGACUUCGGAAGGGGUGUAUUUAUUAGAUAAAAAACCAAUGCCCUUCGGGGCUCCUUGGUGAUUCAUAAUAACUUAACGAAUCGCAUGGCCUUGCGCCGGCGAUGGUUCAUUCAAAUUUCUGCCCUAUCAACUUUCGAUGGUAGGAUAGUGGCCUACCAUGGUGGCAACGGGUAACGGGGAAUUAGGGUUCGAUUCCGGAGAGGGAGCCUGAGAAACGGCUACCACAUCCAAGGAAGGCAGCAGGCGCGCAAAUUACCCAAUCCCGACACGGGGAGGUAGUGACAAUAAAUACUGAUACGGGGCUCUUUUGGGUCUCGUAAUUGGAAUGAGUACAAUCUAAAUCCCUUAACGAGGAACAAUUGGAGGGCAAGUCUGGUGCCAGCAGCCGCGGUAAUUCCAGCUCCAAUAGCGUAUAUUAAAGUUGUUGCAGUUAAAAAGCUCGUAGUUGAACCUUGGGUCUGGCUGGCCGGUCCGCCUCACCGCGAGUACUGGUCCGGCUGGACCUUUCCUUCUGGGGAACCUCAUGGCCUUCACUGGCUGUGGGGGGAACCAGGACUUUUACUGUGAAAAAAUUAGAGUGUUCAAAGCAGGCCUUUGCUCGAAUACAUUAGCAUGGAAUAAUAGAAUAGGACGUGCGGUUCUAUUUUGUUGGUUUCUAGGACCGCCGUAAUGAUUAAUAGGGAUAGUCGGGGGCGUCAGUAUUCAGCUGUCAGAGGUGAAAUUCUUGGAUUUGCUGAAGACUAACUACUGCGAAAGCAUUCGCCAAGGAUGUUUUCAUUAAUCAGGGAACGAAAGUUAGGG
rnacentral:rRNA from 1 species